rnacentral:lncRNA from 1 species
UCGAAGGGCAUGGAGACUCACAGCAGCAUGGAGACUCAAAGAAGAAAUCAGACUAACUGCACUGGUGGGAAAGGCUCUAGGGAGAAGAGGCCAACUGGAGAAAAGGCCAUCCAGGACUGGUCCGACAGGGGUGGGCAGAGGGAACAGUGAGGAGAACAAUGGAGAGGACCCACAGCUCACCAAGGCUACUCCAAAAUAUCCCACCAGUCACAGGGUCUCCUUCUGAGUUUAAGUGUUAUGUGGGUCAUAGGCCAAGACUCAGACUCUACCCACAGUGACCAAAGUCCAGACCACAGGCCAGUGGGUAGGAAGCAUUCCCUGCCUUCCUCCAUUCACAGGGCAACUCAGUCCUAACUCGUGUGCUGUUUAAUCAACACAGAAGCCCAGCAUGGACAGUCAGAGCCUGAGAGACUUCAGAAAGCUUCUCCUCCAGGAAUUCUUAUUUUUGAGAAGAGCUGCAUCCUGGGACAAUUUUAUGGCUGAUGAGAACAUAUCUUGAUCCACUCCACAUUUCAGUGUAACCUUGCAGUAUACCCGUAACACUGGAGGCACACAUCUCUUCCCUAGCAGCCCUUAAGAACCUGAAUGGUAGAGAGAAGGAGGAUCACAAAAGUUUGCUUCCAGCUCUAUACUCACCCACAGAUCAACGAGGGGCAAGGAUAGAAGCAGAGACAUCAAUGGAGAAGAGGCUAUAGAAAGAUUCUGAGCAAGAAAUGACAAUGGGUUGGUAAUGGUAGUGCAGGUGAUAAGAAGAAGUCAUGUUCCGGAUGUACUUUUUCAGAUCAUUUGCUCUGGAGAAAGCCAGCAGGCAUGAGAGGCCCAUGUGGUGAGGAACUGAAGCCUCCUGCCCACAGCCACAUGUGUGAACUUAGAAAUUAGAAGAUCUUCUAGCCCAGUCAAUGGCUGUACAAUGGCUACAACCCUGGCUAAUACCUUGACUUCAACCUCAUGAAAGACUGAGCUAGAACCACCCAACUAAGCUGUUCCUAGAUUCCUCACCAUCAGGAACUGUGUGCUGUAAAAAUGCUUGUUAUUAU